rnacentral:rRNA from 1 species
UACGUAGGUGGCAAGCGUUGUCCGGAUUUACUGGGUGUAAAGGGCGUGUAGCCGGGUUGACAAGUCAGAUGUGAAAUCCUGCGGCUUAACCGCAGAACUGCAUUUGAAACUGUUGAUCUUGAGUACUGGAGAGGCAGACGGAAUUCCUAGUGUAGCGGUGAAAUGCGUAGAUAUUAGGAGGAACACCAGUGGCGAAGGCAGCCUGCUGGACUGUAACUGACGCUGAUGCUCGAAAGUGUGGGUAUCAAACAGG